AUAAGCUGACAUACUUACAGUCCAUAGGAUCCAACAGCUAUCGACAAAAUGAAAAAGAAAAUAGGUGACCUACAUUCGCUCGGGCUCAUCCUCCAAUAUUACACGAUUGUGCUCUACAUAAAUAAUCAUUACCCAUGUUUUUACACGAGCCCACGAAGAAGGGAUCCUGGAGGUGGAGGGUGUGCAGGGGAUUUGAGAGGACAGACGUCUAUAUAGCUUCCUCUUCCGCAUUCCUAGUGCCUGCAUACAUAUUAUACUGUCACUAUGGUGUUAACAUGUAAACAAUUGUAACUUUAUAUAGCUAUGAUGCUAAUAUGAUUGUUUUACACGCAAAUUCAGCUCAUACUACAGAUUGUGAUAGCACAGCGCAUAGAUCUCUUCAAUCCACACACUAGCUGGCAUAGAUAAAUCCCCCUUUAUAAAUCUGCUUACGUACUCCUGAGAAUUGGCACGCAUACAGCGUAUUAAUGUUUUAAUUUGUGCAGUUUUCAUAAACUACAUAAGAGAUACCGUAUUGAUUAUCAAUCAAAAAAUUGUUUGUAUAAUGAAUAACCUUUGUCCAAAUUUAAAAGUAUGUAAAAAUCGAUAACUGGGAUUGUUGUGUGUGUAUUGCUCAACUGCGUGGCAGUGAUAUAGGUUAUUUACUACGCCCAGUAAGAGCUGGCUUAGUCGAGUGGCUACUUCAUACUUACUUACUGAUUGAUUAUGAGCUAUUGUUCGAAAAUCGGGUUUCUAGAACCACUUGGUGCCACUGACGCCAUCCAGCCAAAUUUUAUUCAAUAUCAAUCAAUCUGAUUAUACAUCAGAAUGUUAUUAUUUCAUUCUUUUAAUGAAUAUCACCUUGCAUACAUACACAUUCAUGAAUAGAUACGUGAACUGCAGUGUCCGAGUUCGAACCGUUCUGGCGGCGAUUUUUUUUUCAUAACGGAUUAAAAAAAAGUAUUUAAGGAAGGAGUCUUUUUAUUAUCAAACAUACUUCUUAUAAUAAGAAAUGCAUGAAAUUUUGACACAGUCAAACGGAUCAUAUUACUUAAUGAUUCUAUCAGUUUAAUUAAAUUUGACCUUUUUGUUUUCGGAUAAAGGUCAGGUCAAGGUCACUACCUUUUUCCUCAACGUAAAGAGUGAUAAAAAUAAGUGUAGCUCUUUAUAGUUCUGUAGACAUUUGUUUAAGAUUUGAAGAUUCAAAUCUUCAAUGAAAUCAUAGACCAUGAGAGUGUCUAUCAGCUUAUACUACUAAAUUGGAAUAAAUAUUUAUACUAAAAUU